UGGUUGUACUUGGACCUGGCAAACACAGUUUUAUUUCAGAGACUGAGACCUAAUCGACUAGCUCGUACCUAUUAUACAAGUAUGCUAUAAACAUGGUCUAGGCGGCACAAGUGGCGCAGGUGCAACCUUCCCCACAGGUGCAAAAGGCCUUGCCGACCUUAGCGGAGGUCUGGGUCUUGGCGCAGGUGCAAGGGUUGCAGCCGCAGUGCUCCCCGCACGGGCACAUGUUGUGUUCUUGAUCCCCACCAGAUGCUGCGCUCAUCCUGCACCUACAUGGACUCCAACGUUCUUUUUUAAGUUGAACAAAAUACAUCAAUUCUUGAGAGCAUAUAGAAGAGUAGAAACCUGCAGGAUUCUCCACCUGGACAGGGAGAUGGGCAGCCACAGCGACUGUUGCCCGUGUUGUGGGUUUAGUUAUGCGUGGAAGCGCGUGGAGAGGAACGUCACUAAAUUGGACCAACUUGCUUGAAAAGAAGUUAUGAAAGACCCCAUACGGCUUUCGCUUUUAUUGCACAACCUCCGAAACCAUUUCGCGUUUAACGUCUAGAGACGGGAGUUGAUAAAAAAAAAAAGACAUAGAGACGGGACAAAAGAAAGAGCCAGACACGACACUAGCGUCUCUGUUUUAUUGCUGCUUACCUCUAUUAUUCUGUCACAAAGGAAAAACCAAGGAGAGAAGAUCCAAUUGAGAGACAUGCAUGCAAAGACGGACUCCGAGGCCACUAGCAUUGACGCGGCUUUGUCAUGGCCGCCGCGCUCUCCGCCCCGUUCGGCGACUAGACCUCUUUACUAUGUACAGAGUCCCUCCAACCACGACGUGGAGAAGAUGUCAUUUGGGUCCGGUUGCAGCCCGAUGGGUUCUCCCUCACACCCACAUUACUACCACUGCUCACCCAUCCAUCACUCCCGUGAAUCCUCCACCUCUCGCUUCUCUGACCGAGCACUCCUCUCCUACCAGUCAAUCCGCGAAGGAAGCGGACGCCGUCGUUACAUCAACAGCGCCAUCGACGAAGAAACUGACGACGGAGAUGACGACCCCUUUCGAAAUGUGCGUCUCUACGGCUGCUUGCUCCUCUCCUUGUUCCUCUUGUUCUCAAUCUUCUCUCUCAUACUGUGGGGUGCUAGCAAAUCCUACCCUCCUAAAGUUGUGGUAAAGGUAACAAUAACUAUCGCUCUUUUCUUCACUCGGUGACUCGGGCUGAGUUAAGAGUAGAGUCGACUCGUCUAGUGGAUAGGUGUUCGGUUUCACUUUCUUCGGUUUCACUUUCCUUAAAAGAAACAAUCUGAAAAAGGCCAACAAUGAAAAAUAGUAUAAUACUAGUGUUAUGUCCCGUACUAGCGUACGGGCACAAAAAUUAAUAUUACUCAUAUCUUACGAAACUUGAGUUUAUGUAACUGAUGAGAUCCUCAACAAAAUUUCCUUCCUGAUAAACUGUGUUGGAUCUGAUCCAUUAAAAAUGAUUUGGAUUAUCUAGUCUAGUGUUGCGUCAGAAAAAUUCACUCGUACUUGUGUGGACAUAGUUUUGACUAUCUCAUACCAACUGCACCAGUUAGUCUAGUGUUGCGUCAGAAAAAUUCACUCGCGCUAGUGUUAUAUUUUUUUUGCGUCAAUGGUUAAAACAAACAGAUUUAGUUCACAAUCUAUACCUCAUAUAUUGUAUUGCACAUAAUUCAUUUCAUUUGUUGCAGAGAAAUAUGAUGGAGCAAUAUAUGAAAAAGUAGCAAUAGCAGAAAAUAGAGAAAACGAAAAAUUAAAGAAAAAACAGUUAUAGAAGAUGAAACAGUUUAAAGUCAUGUUAUGAUUUGAGAGAGUGACGAUUUGAUAGUGAUUUUUUGUAACUUUUUCAUCUUCUAUAACUGAGUUUUUUUUCUUUAUUUCUCUCUCUAUCGUUUCUUAUUCUUGAUAAUGUUUCCCAGCUUUUCAAUAUUCAACAAAAAUCAGUAUAGGUUUUUGAGUACUCUAUUCAUAUUCCUUUUGUUUGGUUUAUCCCUAGAUUUAGAGAUUAAGAAUCUAAAAUAUGUUUUUGCCAAAGCCAAUUUCUUCUCUUAUGUUUUUGCCAUAUAAUUUUAAUUAAAUAUAAUGUAGAUCAAAAUUUAUGGAAGAAAAAAGCUUUUUGAAGUGGUGAAAACUAAUUUGAACGUGGGAUGAGAUUAGAUGAGAUCUUUGAGAAAAUAUAGGACUUUAGAUAUUUGAAGUUGCAAAAAAUGAAACUGACGUUAAGAUUUUUUUCAUUUUUCUUUUUGGUAAAACAUUAUCCAUGUGUCAGAAUUUUAGUGGGCAAGUAUUUUAGUGGGUAAGUGACUUGUGCUUUAGUAUAUAAAAGAUUCUUUUUUAAAAAUAAAUAAGUAAAAUAGAUUAACAAGUAAACAAAGUGUGGAAUGAGAGACAAGUGUGCAUUUGAUUUGGGAGUUAGAAUGUGAGCAAGUGUUAGACUGAAUAUAAAUACUUGCAGGGGAUGCUGGUGAGGAACUUUAACGUGCAGGCUGGUAACGAUCUUAGCGGUGUGCCCACUGACAUGCUGUCUCUUAAUUCGACUGUCAGGAUCUUCUACCGGAACCCCUCCACCUUCUUCGCCGUCCAUGUCACUGCUCUCCCUCUCCUCCUCCGCUACUCCAACCUCCUCCUUUCCUCCGGUGAGAUGGAGAAGUUCACGGUGGGUAGGAAAAGCGGAAGGAAUAUAGCCACGGUGGUGCAUGGCCAUCAGAUUCCCCUAUACGGCAGUGUCUCUCCCCAUCUCGACAAACUGUCCCUGCCCCUCAAUCUCACUCUCGUCCUCCGUUCCAGGGCUUACAUUUUAGGCAGACUCGUCACCUCCAAUUUCCAUACAAGGAUCAUUUGCUCUUUCACUCUUAAUGCCAACCGCCUUACCAAACCCAUGUCUCUUAUCCACUCAUGUACUCAUCACCACUGACACCACCUUGCACACUUUCUGUGUACUUUGGAUAUAUAUUUUUAUCUUUUGCAAUCAAUCAACAAAUUCUUCCAGGAAUAUUAUUGCUACGACCAAAAAAAAGGCGGUGCAACUCAUCACAUAUAGGUGAAAGCAGACAAGGUUUACAGUUUCCACCGAGUUUAUUAAUACUCAAUUGUGAAGAACAAUGAGCCAAGAUUCUACAAAAAGAAAAAAAAAAUUCAAAUAACAUAAUCGGUAAAUAUAUCUACAAAUAUACAGUAUACUAUGAGUAGAGUAGCCUUGGAAGUUGGAAUGAAGAGAACCUCCGGCGAUAAUCACUGGAGUAGUCUCUGUAUUACCAUCCAUACUUAGUAUUGUGUUUGCAUCCAUUAUUCUACGCAUGGAACGGGAAAUUUUGAACUUUAUGAAACGUAUUGUUGUGUGAUACUGUUAUCUUUCACAUAAGGAAAUUUUGAUUCGUUUGAUUUCUUUCAUUGAUAACCCUAUCUAUAAUAGUCUUUCAACAUAGACUCCAAAUCUAUGUUUAGACUCCACAAUUACAUUCAAAGAAUUUGAUAGAAUUCAUCACAUAUGUUACUGUAAAUGUAAAAGAAGGAAAAAGAGAGUGGAGGCAGAGGAAAGUCAAAAGGAAAACAGAGGAAAAGAAGAUUGAUAUGAUCUGUAAGCUGAGCUGGUCAAUUGAUAGAAAGGAGCAAAGACUCCUGGAUAAGCCACAAGUAGUAUAAAUAAGAAACACUGUACUUGAUUUACUGUUUCCCUAUGCGUUUUAUAUUUAUGUAUUUGUUUGUUUGUAAACAAGCAACACUGAUCUGUUUGUAAUAAGCUUUCUAUCAUUAGUAAAGGAGCUCCCAAUUCCAUAUUCUAUUAUCAGAGUUGCUCUAAAGGAUGUGAAAGUGCCGGUUUUCACUUUCUUGUUUGAUUAAUUCAAGAUUUGCUACUGUCUUCAGUUGCUGUAAAAUUUAGAUUCAUGGUUUCAUAUAUUAGCAGAACUUGUGGAGUCGGGGGUUGGGUUGUGCUGGGCUGGACAGGUGUUUCCACGUCAACCUUUGGUACACCAGAUCACAAACAACUCUUCCAUAUUUAAUAGGAGGUCCCUGCAGGCGAUUGGUCUUAGUGGGAGAGUUUCUCACUGUUUAGAAUGGUGUUACUAUGUGUUGUAUGAACAGAUAUCCUGUUCUUUUUUUUGAACGGAUAUCCUGUUCAAUUCAUAGAUCUUUUAUAUUCCAUUACCUUUUAUAUUCCAUUCGUAAUGUGAAAUACUUCACUAAAAUGUUCAUUUUUCCAAAAUAUCAAGUUUGACCAGGCUGGGGUGGUUACAUGCAUUUCACCAGCUUUCGUUUUGAGUUUGGGGCCUCCUUUCUGACUCAGUUAGUAGACUACUUUCCAAGUGAAGUUAUUUGGAAGAUUGAUAUGGUGAAAGUGGCCCUGGUGGUUCAUGCGUCCUUGAUACUCACAUCACCCAUUCCCAAGGUAUGUUUCCUUGGUCUUCAUAUUGGACUUUAGAUGCAAGCGUUUUCAGUACAAGAACAGAGAAUAAACGAUAUGUUUGGUUGUAUUUGGACCUGGCAAACACAGUUUUAUUCCAGAGACUGGGACCUAAUCGACUAGCUCGUACCCUAUUAUACAUGUAUGCUAUAAACAUGGUCUAAGCGGCACAAGAGGCGCAGGUGCAACCCUCCCCACAGGUGCAAAAGGCCUUGCCGCCCUUAGCGGACGUCUGGGUCUUGGAGCAUGUGCAAGGGUUGCAGCCGCAGUGCUCCCCACACGGGCACAUGUUGUGUUCUUGAUCCCCACCAGAUGCUGCGCUCAUCCUGCACCUACAUGGACUCCAACAACGUUCUUUUUUAAGUUGAACAAAACACAUCAAUUCAAGAGAGCAUAUAGAAGAGUAGAAACCUGCAGGAUUCUCCACCUGGACAGGGAGAUGGGCAGCCACAGCGAUCGUUGCAGCCAGCGACUGAGGUUCCUUUGCCUAUGUCUGCCAUUUCUUUUACCUCGC
rnacentral:lncRNA from 1 species